GAUGAAGAACGCAGCGAAAUGCGAUAAGUAAUGUGAAUUGCAGAAUUCAGUGAAUCAUCGAAUCUUUGAACGCACAUUGCGCCCGCCAGUAUUCUGGCGGGCAUGCCUGUCCGAGCGUCAUUUCAACCAUCAAGCCCCGGGCUUGUGUUGGGGACCUGCGUCCGACGCAGGCCCCGAAAACCAGUGGCGGGCUCGCUGUCCACACCGAGCGUAGUAGCUAACCUCGCUCCGGAGUGGCGCGGGCGCCUGCCGUAAAACCCCCCAAUUUUACAAGGUUGACCUCGGAUCAGGUAGGAAUACCCGCUGAACUUAAGCAUAUCAAUAAGCGGAGGA
rnacentral:misc_RNA from 1 species